rnacentral:lncRNA from 1 species
GGACUGCGUCACUGCAGAGAGAGUUGCAGAAGUGGGGCCUGUCCUGCAGCCCAGGAAGGUCGUUGCCCUCACUCCCCAGACCCAGGGCUCUCCAUUGCACCCAAUCCAUCAUGUCCUUCAGCUUCUGAUGGAAUCCAAGAGGGCACAGAAAAGACAUAGCAGCCAGGCACGGUAUCAAGUGGCUAAAUCAGCGUUUUUUUGCAGAGGUCAGAAGUGUGGGAGAAGGUGGGGGCUGUGGGGAAAAGGGGCUGGAAUAAGGAGGAAUGUGCGAUGCGACUCAGGAUUAGAGGCCAUGGGAGGGGAAGAGGCAGCGGGCCGGGAGUAGCAGGCUGGUCCGUCCACAUUCCAUCAGGCCCUGGGAAACUUGGAUGCCAGCACUCCCUCAUGGCCCUCCACAGACCCCACCAGGGUCUAUGGGAGGAUUUGUGAGCCUGGAGUCUCCACCCACCCAUUAGAGAGGAGGGGGCUUCUGGAAGCUUCAUGAGGGCUCCAAAUACUGGACACUCAGCUAUGUUCACAGACCAGGAGGAAGUAGACUCGACUCUUGACUAGGGACACCAGGAGGGGAGAGGCCAACGUCUGUCUCGUUUUCAGUUCCUUUCCCCACCCCUGCUCCUCCCAAUCCAUCCGUUCCCAGGCCCUCAAGACACAAAAUUCCUGAAAGCUCCAACUCCCAUCUACGUCAUCUUCGGCGUCCCCUGAUAACCCUCCCUCCCCCAUUACCCCAGGCCCUGGAAUUGGGGAAGGGUCUUCCCUCCCUGACUUCUACGACCCCUUCCUUGUUCCUCUGCCCCCAUUCCCACCCGGUUCCAUUCGGAGCCUUGGUCUCUGGACACCAAAGGUGAAAAUGUGAGGACUCUCUGCCUACGAUCCUUCGUCCCCUAAAACCCUCCAAGUACCUUGGCCCCGAAAGCUCAGAGUCGAGGGGAAUCUCCCCGCUAUAAUCUUUGGGUCCCUGGAUCCCAAGUCCCCCGUCUCCAAAACUAGGAUUCGG